GCACUUGUACUGUGAAACUGCGAAUGGCUCAUUAAAUCAGUUAUCGUUUAUUUGAUAGUACCUUACUACAUGGAUACCUGUGGUAAUUCUAGAGCUAAUACAUGCUAAAAACCCCGACUUCAGGAAGGGGUGUAUUUAUUAGAUAAAAAACCAACGCCCUUCGGGGCUCCUUGGUGAAUCAUAAUAACUUAACGAAUCGCAUGGCCUUGCGCCGGCGAUGGUUCAUUCAAAUUUCUGCCCUAUCAACUUUCGAUGGUAGGAUAGUGGCCUACCAUGGUGGCAACGGGUAACGGGGAAUUAGGGUUCGAUUCCGGAGAGGGAGCCUGAGAAACGGCUACCACAUCCAAGGAAGGCAGCAGGCGCGCAAAUUACCCAAUCCCGAUACGGGGAGGUAGUGACAAUAAAUACUGAUACGGGGCUCUUUUGGGUCUCGUAAUUGGAAUGAGAACAAUUUAAAUCCCUUAACGAGGAACAAUUGGAGGGCAAGUCUGGUGCCAGCAGCCGCGGUAAUUCCAGCUCCAAUAGCGUAUAUUAAAGUUGUUGCAGUUAAAAAGCUCGUAGUUGAACCUUGGGUCUGGCUGGCCGGUCCGCCUCACCGCGAGUACUGGUCCGGCUGGACCUUUCCUUCUGGGGAACCUCAUGGCCUUCACUGGCUGUGGGGGGAACCAGGACUUUUACUGUGAAAAAAUUAGAGUGUUCAAAGCAGGCCUUUGCUCGAAUACAUUAGCAUGGAAUAAUAGAAUAGGACGUGUGGUUCUAUUUUGUUGGUUUCUAGGACCGCCGUAAUGAUUAAUAGGGAUAGUCGGGGGCGUCAGUAUUCAGCUGUCAGAGGUGAAAUUCUUGGAUUUGCUGAAGACUAACUACUGCGAAAGCAUUCGCCAAGGAUGUUUUCAUUAAUCAGGGAACGAAAGUUAGGGGAUCGAAGACGAUCAGAUACCGUCGUAGUCUUAACCAUAAACUAUGCCGACUAGGGAUCGGACGGGAUUCUAUAAUGACCCGUUCGGCACCUUACGAGAAAUCAAAGUUUU
rnacentral:rRNA from 1 species